CCCUUAGAUGUCCGGGGCCGCACGCGCGCUACACUGAAGGAAUCAGCGUGGCUUUCUCCCUGACCCGAAAGGGUUGGGAAACCCGUUGAAUCUCCUUCGUGAUAGGGAUUGGGGCUUGAAAUUGUUCCCCAUGAACGAGGAAUUCCCAGUAAGCGCGAGUCAUAAGCUCGCGUUGAUUACGUCCCUGCCCUUUGUACACACCGCCCGUCGCUACUGCCAACUGAGAUGGGUCCUGAAUUGUUAGGAACGCCCGUCAAGGGGCCUACCCGGUCCCUAGUGCGGUGACGAGAAGAACUGUAAAUGGCAUAUCUUGUAGGGAGUAAAAGUCGUAACA
rnacentral:rRNA from 1 species